AUUGAACGCUGGCGGCAUGCCUUACACAUGCAAGUCGAACGGCAGCACGGGAGCAAUCCUGGUGGCGAGUGGCGAACGGGUGAGUAAUACAUCGGAACGUGCCCAGUAGUGGGGGAUAGCCCGGCGAAAGCCGGAUUAAUACCGCAUACGACCUAAGGGUGAAAGCGGGGGAUCGCAAGACCUCGCGCUAUUGGAGCGGCCGAUGUCAGAUUAGGUAGUUGGUGGGGUAAAAGCCUACCAAGCCUUCGAUCUGUAGCUGGUCUGAGAGGACGACCAGCCACACUGGGACUGAGACACGGCCCAGACUCCUACGGGAGGCAGCAGUGGGGAAUUUUGGACAAUGGGCGCAAGCCUGAUCCAGCCAUGCCGCGUGCGGGAAGAAGGCCUUCGGGUUGUAAACCGCUUUUGUCAGGGAAGAAACGCUCUGG
rnacentral:rRNA from 1 species